AGGAUUAACGCUGGCGGCGUGCCUAACACAUGCAAGUCGAACGAGGUAGCAAUACCUAGUGGCAGACGGGUGAGUAGCGCGUGGUCAACCUACCGUUGAGUGGGGGAUAACUAGCCGAAAGGUUAGCUAAUACCGCAUACGUCUCCGAGGGGCAUCCCUUGGCGAUAAAAGGAGCAAUCCGCUCGAUGACGGGACCGCGUCCCAUUAGCUAGUUGGUGGGGUAACGGCCUACCAAGGCAUCGAUGGGUAGCUGGUUUGAGAGAGCGACCAGCCACACUGGGACUGAGAUACGGCCCAGACUCCUACGGGAGGCAGCAGUGAGGAAUUUUCCGCAAUGGGCGAAAGCCUGACGGAGCGACGCCGCGUGUGGGAAGAAGGCCUUCGGUCGUAACCACUGUCGAAGGGAAGAGUAAUGACGGUACCCUUGGAGGAAGCCCCGGCUAACUACGUGCCAGCAGCCGC
rnacentral:rRNA from 1 species